CCCCUAGAUGUUCUGGGCCGCACGCGCACUACACUGAACAGUUCAACAAGUCUUAACCUUGGCCGAUAGGUCUGGGUAAUCUUUGAACGCUGUUCGUGAUUGGGAUAGACCUUUGCAAUUAUGGGUCUUCAACGAGGAAUUCCUAGUAAACGCAAGUCAUCAGCUUGCAUUGAUUACGUCCCUGCCCUUUGUACACACCGCCCGUCGCACCUACCGAUUGAAUGGUCCGGUGAAAUCUCGGGACGGCGGCUUGGUCGCUUGCGUCCGACUGCUGAAACUUGAUUAAACCAUAUCAUUUAGAGGAAGGUGAAGUCGUANCA
rnacentral:rRNA from 1 species